rnacentral:rRNA from 1 species
UACGUAUGUCGCAAGCGUUAUCCGGAAUUAUUGGGCGUAAAGCGAGUCUAGGCGGCUUGUUAAGUCAGAUGUGAAAAUGCGGGGCUCAACUCCGUAUUGCGUUUGAAACUGGCAGGCUAGAGUACUGGAGAGGUGGGCGGAACUACAAGUGUAGAGGUGAAAUUCGUAGAUAUUUGUAGGAAUGCCGAUAGUGAAGACAG